CAGUCGUAACAAGGUCUCCGUUGGUGAACCGGCGGAGGGAUCAUUACUGAGUCGUAAAAAUCUCCCAACCCAUGUGAAUUUACCUUUGUUGCCUCGGCGGGACCUACCCGGUACCUACCCUGUAGCUACCCUGUAGCCCGCCGGUGGACCAUUCAACUCUUGUUAUUUAUGGAAAUCUGAGCGUCUUAUUAAUAAGUCAAAU
rnacentral:misc_RNA from 1 species